GUUCAGAAAUUUUUUCCUACCACCUCACGCGAUACUCCAACUGGAGCCUAUGAGGUAUGGCUGGGCCUGGAGAUGAAGUGUAAGCAGACCAUGCUAUGCUGCGGAUUGGUGCCAAUCUUCACAUCCGAGUUGUUCCCACGACAGUCAAGCACCACUGUGAUUUGCUUCAUUGGCAAGGUGCCCUGCAAGCUCUCACCAAAGCAACACAUUAC